CCUACGGGUGGCAGCAGUGAGGAAUAUUGGUCAAUGGACGAGAGUCUGAACCAGCCAAGUAGCGUGAAGGAUGACUGCCCUAUGGGUUGUAAACUUCUUUUAUAUGGGAAUAAAAUGUUCCACGUGUGGGAUUUUGUAUGUACCAUAUGAAUAAGGAUCGGCUAACUCCGUGCCAGCAGCCGCGGUAAUACGGAGGAUCCGAGCGUUCGCCGGAUUUAUUGGGGUUAAAGGGAGCGUAGGUGGAUUGUUAAGUCAGUUGUGAAAGUUUGCGGCUCAACCGUAAAAUUGCAGUUGAAACUGGCAGUCUUGAGUACAGUAGAGGUGGGCGGAAUUCGUGGUGUAGCGGUGAAAUGCUUAGAUAUCACGAAGAACUCCGAUUGCGAAGGCAGUUCACUGGACUGCAACUGACACUGAGGCUCGAAAGUGUGGGUAUCAAACAGAAUUAGAUACCCGGGUAGUC
rnacentral:rRNA from 1 species